rnacentral:rRNA from 1 species
AUACAGAGGGUGCGAGCGUUAAUCGGAAUUACUGGGCGUAAAGCGCGCGUAGGCGGUCUAUUAAGUCAGAUGUGAAAUCCCAGGGCUCAACCUUGGAACUGCAUCUGAUACUGGUAGACUAGAGUUUUGGAGAGGGAAGUAGAAUUUCAGGUGUAGCGGUGAAAUGCAUAGAGAUCUGAAGGAAUACCAGUGGCGAAGGCGACUUCCUGGCCAAAAACUGACGCUGAGGUGCGAAAGCGUGGGUAGCAAACGGGAUUAGAAACCCGGGUAGUCC